UUUACAGGUCUGGCAAUUGGAAUGAGAACAAUUUAAAUCCCUUAUCGAGUACCAAUUGGAGGGCAAGUCUGGUGCCAGCAGCCGCGGUAAUUCCAGCUCCAAUAGCGUAUAUUAAAGUUGUUGCAGUUAAAAAGCUCGUAGUUGGAUUUCUGGCAGGGGUGAACGGCCACACACAAUGUGUGUGAGCUUGUUUAUCUCGCCACCCUUGGGGAGAUUUUGCUUGGCAUUAAGUUGUCGGGUAAAGGAUACCCAUCGUUUACUGUGAAAAAAUUAGAGUGUUUAAAGCAGGCUUAUGCCGUUGAAUAUAUUAGCAUGGAAUAAUAAGAUAGGACUUUGAGUCUAUUUUGUUGGUUUGCGAGUCAAAGUAAUGAUUAAUAGGGACAGUUGGGGGUAUUCGUAUUUCAUUGUCAGAGGUGAAAUUCUUGGAUUUCUGAAAGACGAACUACUGCGAAAGCAUUUACCAAGGAUGUUUUCAUUAAUCAAGAACGAAAGUUAGGGGA
rnacentral:rRNA from 1 species